GAUAAAAUGGCUGAUGAUAGGUUGUAAAUUGUAAAUUUAUAUAUAGAUUGAAAAAUCUUUUUAUCA
rnacentral:tRNA from 1 species